rnacentral:rRNA from 1 species
UACGGAGGGUGCAAGCGUUAAUCGGAAUUACUGGGCGUAAAGCGCACGCAGGUGGCUGAGUAAGUCGAUUGUGAAAGCCCUGGGCUUAACCUGGGAAUUGCAGUCGAUACUGCUCGGCUAGAGUAUGGGAGAGGGUAGUGGAAUUCCCGGUGUAGCGGUGAAAUGCGUAGAUAUUGGGAGGAACACCAGUGGCGAAGGCGGCUCACUGGACCGGAACUGACGCUGAGGCGCGAAAGCGUGGGGAGCAAACAGG